ACCAUUGCAGCGUCCGGUUUCCCUGCUCUUCUCUCCCCUUUUGCGCGGAUGCGAUUAGAUCGUUCUAAUGCAGUGGACGCCUAAGUAGCACAGCUCAUGCGCCAGCGCAUUCUGCCGCGCAGCAGCCCCGCGGCGUUGCAAGCGCCACGAUGGCGGCCGGGCUCGCCACGCCUGCACGCGGCAAGGUAGAGCCUGCCUGCCGCAGCAACUUGAUCGCAGCCCGCCAAACGCACUCGCCCGCAACCAGGCGCAAGCGGCUCACCGAACCCCUGCACUCUCUCCAUCAUUUGCAACCG
rnacentral:sRNA from 1 species